UGGAUGGCUUUGCACCUGGUGUUGAACCUGC
rnacentral:piRNA from 1 species